ensembl:lncRNA
GUAUCGAUUUUACAGUUCCCACAGUACCACAGGUAGGCCUACCAUGCGAUCUGAAUGAAUGGUGCAGGCUAGUUGCCAAUAUAUUGAGACGUUUAAUGUAGCGCUAACUUUGAGUUGGUACAAAUGUUAAACCAAUUAAGAGCAAUCACGAUGCCAGUGAAGUCUUAUAACAAUAUUUUUAACAAUGCCUCCUUCCCUAAUUAUAACCAGUUGCGUGACACUGUCUUGUUUAUUUUUUUAGACUGCAUUGAUAUGUUAAUAAUACAACCACUAAUAAAUAUUAUCAGGGCAUAUGUAAUUUAAUGUUUAAUUCUGUUCAACACAUACCAUUCUCGUUUAGUCUGUACAAAAACAAUUAUACAACAAAAUGUAAAAUUGGACAUCUGCAGAAUAGUGGAUAGUGGAUAAUAGUUGAGUCAUGCUGAAAUACAAUGACCACUUUUACUAACUGAUUAUCAUGGUUUACGACAUGUGUAUGUUGGAAUGUGUAACAUAUUCCACAUCAAGGCUGAAGGUAGCUGUCACCCUAAUCAUGUUGCUGGAUCUCUUUUAGGAACCCACACCACCCCCCAUCAACGUAUUGCAGCCACAAUCUUGGAGGAUCUCUGAGAUGGGAUAUUAUUACUGGUGUAGGGUCUUAAGCAGUUGUACAAAUGUAUUUAUGAGUUUGUUCGUCGUGAUUAGUGUUCCUUGACCCAGGGUUGCCAAAGCAUGGUUUCCUAUCUCUUCCAAUCCACCCGUCAACACCCCCCAGCAGAGAUGAGUUAUCUGUUGGGGAAAUAAAGACUCUUGGGCAGUGGCCUGGCCCCCUCAAAGAGCCAAGGGCUAUUUCUGGUACCUGACAGAGAGAGAGAGGGAGAGGGGGGGGGACGUAGUAUAGGAGGAGAUGAGAGUGUAAGUGAGAGAGUGUGUGUGCGAGAGAGAGUGUGUGUCUGUGACUGUGUGUGUGUGUGAGUGAGAGAGUGAGUGUGAGUAAGAGAGUGUGUGUGAGUGAGUGAGUCUGUGUGAGUGAGUGAGUGAGUGUGAGUAAGAGAGUGUGUGUGAGUGAGUGAGUCAGUCAGUCUGUGUGAGUGUGUGAGUAAGAGAGUGUGUGUGUGUGAGUGAGUGAGUGAGUGAGUGAGUGAGUCUGUGUGAGAGAGUGAGUGUGAGUAAGAGAUUGUGUGUGAGUGAGUGAGACAGUGUGUGUGAGUGAGUGAGUGAGUGUGAGUAAGAGAGUAUGUGUGAGUGAGUGUGAGUAAGAGAGUGUGAGUAAGAGAGUGUGAGUGAGUCUGUGUGAGUGAGUGAGUGAGUGAGUGAGUGUGUGUGAGUAAGAGAGUGUGUGUGAGUUAAUUAUGCCCUUUGUUGUUUGGGAAGUGUGUGGCUGCAUUGCUGUGGGUGUCUGUGGUGAGGGGAGUGUUUUUUAUCAACUUCCAGUUUAAGUGUCUCUCUCUUUUUUUUCUUUUUCAGUUUUAGUCUCUUUUUAAAAAUGGGAGGAAGGGCUAGUUCCCUGUAUAGUAUUCGCUUUCGAUGCUUGCUGCUGGAAUGCAACUACACAUUCAUGCCGAUCCUAAGUUUCAUUAGCCUCCAUGACCUUCUAACAACCUUAAGUGCUGCCCACAGCAGUUAUGUCUGUAUGGGGGCUGAAAUGUGAGCUCAGGUAUCGUUUGCUUGGCUGUGUUGUUUUCCCCUUUACUUUGCUGCUUGUUGGGCAGUGGGUGAAGGGGACUUGGAAGAGCUUGCUGUCAAGUUUUGACAGGAUUGCUCUGAAGACUGCAAGUUUAUUUAAGACACUGGGAUGGUUAGAGGUAUGAAAGGCUUUCAUGUUAGGCAUGACUGAUAUUGUCAGUCUACUUUUUAAAAUAUUUUUUUCCCAGCGCUUAGAAACAAAUCUUUACUACGUGUAGUCGUGCUGUUGCAUUACAUCCCGUCUGUAUUUUCAACUCAUCAGAUAAGCACGCAUAGGGUUCCAAAAAAUGCCGUUUCCACAGAAGACAGAUCGUGGAAAUUUAGAUUUCAUGAGAAAUUAAAAUCUGCCUUGAGAAACCUCACUGAAGGGUCAUUAUUGGGAUGCUGGAUUUAUUCAGUCUUAAAGUAACACUAUGGAGUUUCUGGAUCCGCCAGGUAGGGGGCUACUUUCUGCUGGACUAUUCAGUAACGUAUUUGCUGUCUUGCUUUGUCUUAUUGGAUUGGAGUACAUUUAUCGUCAUUGCACAGAGUACAAGUACAGAGGCAACGAAAUGUGUUAUGGUGCACUUGCUUGAUAUUUGACUGUGUUAGGAAAGUUGUUGACAAGCUAGCCAACAUAGCUAUCACAAUAACAUUACAAAGAAGCUGACGCGAGAGCACUUAUUACUAGCAUCAAUGUACAAGCGUGUUUUAACAAGCUUGCUAACAUCACUAACGAGAUGUCUUGCUAGCGGCUAAACUUAACGAAACCUGU